rnacentral:rRNA from 1 species
GACGAACGCUGGCGGCGUGCUUAACACAUGCAAGUCGAACGGAAAGGCCCUGCUUUUGUUGGGUGCUCGAGUGGCGAACGUGUGAGUAACACGUGAGUAACCUGCCCUUGACUUUGGGAUAACUUCAGGAAACUUGGGCUAAUACCGGAUUGGAGCUCCUGCUGCAUGUUGGGUGUUGGAAAGUUUAGGCGGUUGGGGAUGGACUCGCGGCUUAUCAGCUUGUUGGUGGGGUAGUGGCUUACCAAGGCUUUGACGGGUAGCCGGCCUGAGAGGGUGACCGGCCAAAUUGGGACUGAGAUAAGGCCCAUACUUCUACGGGAGGCCACAGUGGGGAAUAAUGCACAAUGGGAGGAAGACUGAUGCAGAACAGCCGCGUGCGGGAUGACGGCCUUCGGGUUGUAAACCGCUUUCGCCUGUGACGAAGCGUGAGUGACGGUAAUGGGUAAAGAAGCACCGGCUAACUACGUG